GCUCGACAUCGAGACAGUUGUUAAAGGAGCAAUCCGCCUUAUGAGCAGCCUACGGCAGAUUAGCUAGUUGGUAAGGUAAUGGCUUACCAAGGCUACGAUCUGUAACCGACCUGAGAGGGUGGUCGGUCACACUGACACUGAAUAACGGGUCAGACUCCUACGGGAGGCAGCAGUCGGGAAUUUUGGGCAAUGGGCGAAAGCCUGACCCAGCAACGCCGCGUGAAGGAUGAAGUAUUUCGGUAUGUAAACUUCGUAAGAAUAGGAAGAAUAGAUGACGGUACUAUUUGUAAGGUCCGGCUAACUACGUGCCAGCAGCCGCGGUAAUACGUAGGGACCAAGCGUUGUUCGGAUUUACUGGGCGUAAAGGGCGCGUAGGCGGCGUGGUAAGUCAGCUGUGAAAUCUCCGAGCUUAACUCGGAACGGUCAGCUGAUACUGCUGUGCUAGAGUACAGAAAGGGCAAUCGGAAUUCUUGGUGUAGCGGUGAAAUGCGUAGAUAUCAAGAGGAACACCUGAGGCGAAGGCGGGUUGCUGGGCUGAUACUGACGCUGAGGCGCGAAAGCUAGGGUAGCAAACGGGAUUAGAUACCGCGGUAGUCCUAGCCCUAAACGA
rnacentral:rRNA from 1 species